rnacentral:rRNA from 1 species
UACGUAGGGGGCAAGCGUUGUCCGGAUUUAUUGGGCGUAAAGAGCGUGUAGGCGGCCUGACAGGUCUGCUGUGAAAACUCGAGGCUCAACCUCGAGAUGUCGGCGGAAACCGUCUGGCUAGAGUCCGGAAGAGGAGAGUGGAACUCCUGGUGUAGCGGUGAAAUGCGCAGAUAUCAGGAAGAACACCUAUGGCGAAGGCAGCUCUCUGGGACGGUACUGACGCUGAGACGCGAAAGCGUGGGGAGCGAACAGG